rnacentral:lncRNA from 1 species
GGGCCACUGUGCCUACAGGUACAUACUCGUGCCGACAGGUACAGACACCGCCACCCCACAUGCGCUUUCUCUCUGGGGCAGAGGGGCUGGUAAGCUGAGCCUCAUUGGGCGCAGGUGUCCUCUGUCCGGUCUCUAGGGGGCAGGGUGGGCCACACGAGCCCUGGCACAGACUUCACCCUCCUGUCCUGGCGAAUCCCCCGGCCAUCCCCGUGUAGUAGGCUGGCCAGAGCCAGUGCAGAGCUGGGCGCUGACGUGAACAUGCCAGGCCUUCUCUGCGUCUGCUCGAGAUCCAGGAGCCUGGAAGCCAGGGAGCAGGAGAGCAGCAAUUGAGGAGGACCCCGGGCAGGGGAGUGACAGAGAGAUGGCUUUGGGAGCUUCACCAAGAAGAGCUGGGACCUCCGAAACAGGGGAUGGGAGGGUGAUUCCCCAGCCUGGACACCCCUUGGGGACAAGAGAUCUAUCUCUGAGACAAGGAGUCAGCAUCCCAGCCUGGAGUUUGAGGGCAGGAUGCAACCCCAGCAGCUGUGGCCACUGGGACACAAGUUUGGAGAGUCUGGCCUCCCUCCUGUGGGUGGGCACAUGGAGAGUGAGUGCGGGGGGCCUCCCGAGUCUCCUGCUGGGAGGCAGCUCAUGGAUCAGCAGGACACACCUGCCCCCUCCCUUCUUCUGGGGCAGAUUCUUUGACUAGAGCUUGGUGGGUGGGAGUGUCCCCUUGUCUAGCCUCUCCAUAGCCAUCCGCCUGCAGAGACUGGGGCUCUAUUAACACCCCCAAGCUGGGUGCACAAGGACAGGGUCCAGCGUGGGGCUAGGGCCAUGUGGUUGACUGGAGCAGCUUGAGACCGUGUAGAUAAGUCCAAUUCUGAGAUUCGAUUUGGGGAAUCACUUUAUUACCACACACCACACCUAAGAACGUCCCCAAUUCCACUUUCAUCAGGAAUGAAGGAGGUUUGUUGACCUCCUUUUUGCCCAUCUCUCAAUUGGGUUAGAACUCAGGUGGGGGGAAAGUAUGGCAUGUGGGGGGCCUCCUGCCCCUAAAUAUGUUUAGCCCAUGGUCUGUGUCUCUCCCCCCAGUUCUCUCCUACCUGAGCCCCACAUGGGUGAAGAGUCUGAGGAUCAGAACCCCUUGCAACUAUGUCACCAUGAUGCAAUUAUCCCCCUGGCUUAGUGGGUACUCGGCGGCUUUUAAAGACUGUGGUGAGACUGAGCCUCACUCCUUCCCCACCCUGCCCUUUGCUUGACAGAACUUCAGCGAUGGGCUAAGGGGUGUAGAGCUUUGGUCACUCCAACCCGCAAAGUUUGCAAGAUGCAAGAGGGAUGAUUAGAGGUGGAAAGGAUUAUUUCUAUGGAAGAAGAGAAUGUAUGGGGAAGGGAUGGAUAGGAAAAGAGAGAGAGACCAUUGCAGAAGAGGAACGGGUUGAGGGUGAGGGGUUCUGAGGAGUGAAGAAGGGAAGGGAAGCACUGGAGAAUGUGGGAGGUCCAUCUGGCCACCUUCUGAAGGUCUGGGGUCCAGCCACGAGAAACACCUCCACAGAAGCCCUCAGUCCUUGUGCGGCAUAAGGGAGGAGGUUGGCCCAGCCACAUCUCCAGUCCCCACCUGCGAUCUGCAUCAUCACCCGCGGCCCUUCAGUUUAUCCUCUGUUGUAGCCACAAGUGAACAAGGACCGCUGUAUCCUGUUCCCUGAUUACUGGUGGCAGAACCAGGAUCCCCAGAGUCCAGUGACACUACUCUUGCUUCUUUCCUAUGGUCCCCAGGCAGCAAGGGUGGGCACAGACUGACCAUGUGCAGCAGAGUCCCUCUCCCAUCAGCCCACAGCCCACCUUACUCCUGGACUUGGCUCCAGCCAAGUCUACACUUCCCUCUAGUGGCCUAACC